rfam:Triticum aestivum genome assembly, contig: Triticum_aestivum_CS42_TGACv1_scaffold_576876_7BL
GUAGUACUCCCUCCGUCCGGAAAUAUUUGUCAUUAAAAUGAAUAAAAGGGGAUGUAUCUAGAUGUAUCUUAGUUCUACAUACAUCCCCUUUUGCCCAUUUUGAUGACAAGUAUUUUCGAAGGAAGGGAGUAUUGC